rnacentral:tRNA from 1 species
GCCGAGGUAGCUCAGUUGGUAGAGCAAAGGACUGAAAAUCCUUGUGUCGACGGUUCGAUUACGCCCCUCGGCACCA